AUUGGUGACGACACUGCUCUACGGUAAGGAGACCCUGGAGUAUGAAGACAUGGUCUCGAUGCUGCGGUCCAAUGAACAGUGAGAGAAGUUGACCAAGGAAGGUGCUCCUUAGGAGGGCUUGGCCAUAGGGAAGAGAUCUAGAAGAGGAAGGGAAAGAGGUAAGUCAAGGGGACGAUCAAAGUCUCGGAAGAGCAGGAGCAAAAAAGAAGUCAGGUGCUGUAAGUGCAACG
rnacentral:lncRNA from 1 species